AUGUUUAUACUUGAUCAAUUUCGACUUAAUUUUUUCUUGUUCCUCACUUAUAAUCUUUUUGCCUCUUUCAUAAAGAGAUAAUAUUAAAACUUAAGAUUUCAAGCUCAGAUUUGGUGCAUCAAGUUUGCUAACCUAUUCCUUUAGGGUGCAAUUUUCUUUUUCAGUUGUGAUCUUACAAGAUUCUAGAUUAAUAUAACGCUUACAAAACUUCUAAAUAUUUCAUCACUAUCAGAGGUUAGAUAUUGAAAAUCAUCAAUUAUUGCACUUAUUAAUGAGACAAGUUUUCUUUUUAAAACAAAGACAACUUUUCUUUUAAUUCUAUAAUACUUUCCUCUGAGACUGCAUCUCU
rnacentral:lncRNA from 1 species